GAUGACGCUGGCGGCGUGCCUAAUACAUGCAAGUCGAGCGAGUGGCGGACGGGUGAGUAAUGUCUGGGAAACUGCCCGAUGGAGGGGGAUAACUACUGGAAACGGUAGCUAAUACCGCAUACCAUCGGAUGUGCCCAGAUGGGAUUAGCUUGUAGGUGAGGUAACGGCUCACCUAGGCGACGAUCCCUAGCUGGUCUGAGAGGAUGACCAGCCACACUGGAACUGAGACACGGUCCAGACUCCUACGGGAGGCAGCAGUGGGGAAUAUUGCACAAUGGGCGCAAGCCUGAUGCAGCCAUGCCGCGUGUAUGAAGAAGGCCUUCGGGUUGUAAAGUACUUUCAGCGGGGAGGCGUUACCCGCAGAAGAAGCACCGGCUAACUCCGUGCCAGCAGCCGCGGUAAUAC
rnacentral:rRNA from 1 species